GACGAACGCUGGCGGCGUGCUUAACACAUGCAAGUCGAACGCUGAAGCUCAGCUUUUGUUGGGUGGAUGAGUGGCGAACGGGUGAGUAACACGUGAGUAACCUGCCCCCUUCUUUGGGAUAACGCCCGGAAACGGGUGCUAAUACUGGAUAUUCACUGGUCUUCGCAUGGGGGUUGGUGGAAAGGGUUUUUCUGGUGGGGGAUGGGCUCGCGGCCUAUCAGCUUGUUGGUGGGGUGAUGGCCUACCAAGGCUUUGACGGGUAGCCGGCCUGAGAGGGUGACCGGUCACAUUGGGAGUGAGAUACGGCCCAGACUCCUACGGGAGGCAGCAGUGGGGAAUAUUGCACAAUGGGCGCAAGCCUGAUGCAGCGACGCCGCGUGAGGGAUGGAGGCCUUCGGGUUGUGAACCUCUUUCGCUCAUGGUCAAGCCGCAACAAUGGUUGUGGUGAGGGUAGUGGGUAAAGAAGCGCCGGCUAACUACGUG
rnacentral:rRNA from 1 species